rnacentral:lncRNA from 1 species
CUCAGGAUCCCUCUCAGCCUCCGGGACCCGCGUGGGGGCUCUUGCGCAACGCCCACUCAAGUCGGGGGCUGCGCUCUCUUCCUUCGCCAGGGUCUCCCACCCCUCCGAUCCAGAAGCGAGGAGAGGAUCGCUCGCACUGGCAGUCUUCCCCAAGGCUGGAGGGUCGCGGCGGCUGGGCAGUGUGAGGGGUGGGCUGCUUGGUUGCCGGAGCUGCGGACCCCCUCCUCCCCGCGUCCAGAAUUGGGGUCCGGGGGCGAUCCAGAGGGAUCUCUAAGAAGAGGGAGCAGGGCUCCCCAAGGCGGAGGAGUUGGAGGGCGACCCCUGCGUCCCAGCUGGCGGAGUGGGGGGCAGCGUCCCCAUGGUUUCCGACCCCUGGACGACCCCCUACCCUAAUUAGAGCCUGCUAAUCCCCCCCCCGGGGAAAAGCUGGAGCCAGUCCCCUCCGGGACUCUCAGCCCCUCCAAGGAUGAGGAGGACAACCCCGGUUGGAGAAAAACCCAAAUCGCCCUUGCCUGCCCCCCAGACCCAGAGAAGCGGGGCUGAGUUGGGGGCGCCGCGCGGGGCUGGCCGGGGGCCCCGCGAAACGGCUCGGCCGGGAGAUGGGCAGGCUCCCGGAGGAAGACUGGAAGGCCGUCAGGGUGGAAAGAUCGUUUGGAGAGUGGAAUUCUGCACAGGGGUGCCUGGCGUGCCAAACCUUGCCGCAGCUGCCAGCUGCCUUGCCGUCUUCUUCCUCUCUGUCUGUUUGCAAAUUGGAUUUGGCUUUGAAUAAAAAAAAAUCCUUAAUACGUUUCCGGCAAUUUUCAUUUCCAGAUCUCUCGAGUUGCGGUAAUGAUUUUACGAUAAUAGACGGUUAUUUAGUCAUUCCACCACAGCAAUAAACAAAGUUGAAGUUGAAUCAGUAAUUUGGAAGCCGGUUAUGGUUUUUUUUUGCAGAUGCUUAAUGGAUUACUGACGAAUCUUGUUUGGAUGAAAAACAAGAGGAAAGAGGUGGAAAGAAAAGAC